CACUAAAUUGUUGAUUUAAUCAAAAUUAUUAUACUUUAAUUUUUAGAAAUUGUCUAACUAUCAAUUAGAAUUUUGUAUCUCUGUACUAUUUAAUAACGACUCAGAUUUAUUGAGCAUUAUCUAUAUUAUUAUAACAAAAUACUUUUUAGGUCACCUUGGUUUUUACAAGUAUUUAAGCGAUGCCAUUAGCUUUUAUUUUUAAUUUAAAAAUAGAUAUUGACCUGCGCACCCGCACGGAUAUUAUUUCUUAUAUUUCUAUACAUUGAUAAUAUUUUUUUCAUAAUUAGUGUUAUAUAUUUUAGAUGUGUCGUAAUAUAACUAAUUACAUUCAAAAGAACUGGACCGAAUCGGAUAAUAUGAUUAUUUUUUGUACAAAUAUCAGAACCCGUUUCAAAUACAUUUGCUAUUUAGAUAUUUAAAGGUUCCUAUAUAUCAAAAUCGAACUCAUCCAACCCGAGAAUGACUCCCCUCAAA
rnacentral:lncRNA from 1 species